UGUAAAGUGGUGCAGAAGUUCUGACACGGACCGGACCAGAGCGUGCUCAGCCUCAGCCUGGCCUUUCCUGAGGAUGGUUCUGAGCUGGAAUUAAAAGGGACGCCCAUCGCAAAAAGGGGGCUGGCGGUGGCGGGGUGGUACCUCGGCCCAGCCACUGCCCCUGCAGGCUGUGGCCGGCACGCUCACCUUGCUUGUGCUUGCUUCCUGGCAUGUCCCAGGGUGAGGGCAUUCCCCACCCCGCCCCGCCCCUUUACCGAAAGAGGAGGCCAACUGAGACCCCAGGACAGACCUACUCCACCUACCCCUAGAAAGGACCUCAGGCUCCUGGCAGCAGCUGCUAGGAGAAAGUGCUUCACCAUCUGCCUCGAGACACUGGUUUUCUAGAAAUGCAGAAACUGCAGCAUUGAUCCAAAGACCCACAACCGAGGAAGAGAAGAGCGAGACUUGAGCCACGUGGUCCUUCCGUCAACACCCCCAGCGCCGACUUCUCCUGGGAGGCUCCAGACAGGAAGACAAAGGUCUCCAGGGAGCCCUAAGACGUCCUCUGUCACCCAACAGUCUCCCAAGAGAAAGCUGGGUCUUGAUUUUGGUGGUCUCAACCCCAGGACGCUGAGUCAGCCACCCUGGCGGUCUGCCCCCUGCACCGCACGGGGAGGGAGUCACCUGCCAGGCUGCUCCGGAGGAGGCCAUCCCAGGGCUGAACCAGAGCCAGGUCCUGGACACCGGACCCCCUGCCUCAGUGCUGGGUCCUCGUCCUGGCUAGGUAACCCUUGGUGACCCACUUUCCCGCCCGCCUUGAAAACAGGAAGACUGGACCAGAACACUGAUGUGCCAGCUUAGCCACACACUGGGAUCCCCACCCCCGGGGGGUGGGGGUGGCCUUUGACAACUACUCGGGCUUGAUUCAGAUUUAAUAGCUCUGGGCUAGAGCCUGGCAUUGGGUUGUUCAAGUCUUCCCAGGAGAUCUAAUGUGCAGCUAAUAUUGAAAACCACAGCAUCAGAAAAUCCCCGGUAAUUCAGAUUCCGAACUGACUGCCCUGAGGUUACAAAGUAGCGCCUCCGACCCCCUCUUUUUGGGAGGGUGUGGAGAGGGGAGCAGAGGGGGUGCAGACUCAGUUUAUAUGAGAAAGAUUAGUAGAAACCAAAUUUUUGAAAGUGUUGUCCCAGCUUGACUUCCAAAUAACUAAUGCACAGCGGAUACUACCAAGGUGGCAAUCACUCUUUGAAGUACUUUAGGGUUGCUCUCUAGUUUAAUCGUGGCAGCGACCGUGUGGCUGGGUAGCAUUAUCCCCCCAUACACAGAAGGAAGCCGGGAGGUGUGGAGGGUACAUGUGCAAGUGGCACCAGGGCUGGGGUGGGGCGGGCUGGCUUCAGAGCCUGGGCCUUCCCUGCCACGUGGCCUUGGAAGCCCCUUUCGUCCUGACGGCGUUUGACAAUGAUCUCCUGCCCUAUUGGCUUCCCAGUGUCAUCUUCCAUCUUUCCCCGUCUCAUGCAAAUGCCAGUCCUGUGUUCACAGUCCAGCCUCACCUGUGGGGUCACCUGGUGCCACCUUUAUCCAAGCCAUGAGCAGCGUGGGAGUGGCCGGGGCACAGGGAGGAUUCUGGGAAAUCCCCUGCUGGAGGGGCUGAGGGGGGGCACUUAAAGAGCUCCUGAACGACGGGGAAUCCCCAGGCGGUUCCCUUACCCCGGGGAGCCAACUGGGACAAGACCAAGGCCAGGCGGGCAUUUGCUGGCAGGGCUCGGGCCCAAGGCUCUGCAGGGACUCUCCAAGCAUGCAGAGCAGGGCUCAGGCCUCCCCCUGCCAGCCCUGGGUUAGUGCCUGGACCUUCUCCUUGCAUUGUCUCAUCCCAGAUUCCAGAAGGCUGAGAACAAUCCCUGUGUCUUUCCUGCCUGACAGAACGUGCAGUCGUCACAGGGAGCUCCCCUUUCACACUGCAACAAGAGCGUGCGCUCUGAUGCGUGUGCCCCGUGCCCGGCCCUUCAGUGUCUCUCCGUUGUCAUUCCCUAAACAGCAAAUGUAGGCCGGAGGCGGUGCCCACCAUCCCUGGAGAAGGCUUAGGACUGAGAGCUAAGGGGCCAGAGACUGAGAAGGGACCAAGAAUCUCCGAGUUCAGACCCACGGUCAGCCAGCAGCGGAGCCGUGAUUCAAACCCUGUCCUGACCCACAGCUGCCAGCCUGCGCUUAGCUCCCACUGAAAACCAAAAUCACAAACGUGUAAAGCUUCUAACAGCUCUCCAGUCCCAGGACGUUGGCUACUUGCUCGAAAAGGACGAUUCUCUGUAUCCCUUGUCAUCUUUACUUGUAGGCUUUCCUGCAGGAAUAUCGAAUCAGAACCAAACUCUGAUAAAGACCAAAUUAGAGGUCAGAGCUGUUCAAGCCUAAGAGGGUGAGCCAGUGCGUGCGAGCUCCUGGCGCCCGUGAACUUCCAGACAGCACGUGCACAGCAGGGCUGCCAACGCCGGAACACCUGAGCCGUUGUUCGCAAUCAGUACAGACUUGCUGAUCGUUCAUUCUGUUUUUCAAUUCAGCAACUACUUGUGAACGGCCAACUAUGUUAGUGUGCAAUAGAGGAAAUACUGCGCAGAUCUCAACCGAGCCACAAGGACCUCAUCAGAGAGGCCGGUGCAGCCUGCUCCCUACAUCCUUUCAAAGCUCAAAGAAGCAUCCUCCACCAUCCUCCUGCACCCACAAAAGUCCUUCUGCGAGGUCUUCCAAAAGUUCAUGGAAAUUUUUAUUAUGAAAGAACUAUUUUGCACCAAAAUACACGCAUCAUUUAAUUCCAUUCGCCAUGAACGUUUUCACCAACACUCGCAUCUUUCCUUGAGAAGGUUACAACAGUUCUAACUGCUGACGGCUGUGCUACUCACCCUGUUAAAUCCAAGCCUGUUCGCUUAUGAUGCCAAUCAUAUUUUUCGCCCUUGAAAGCGAUUGCUAGGGUCGAGAGCCAUGGGAGUAUUUCGGGAGGAAGGACUUCGAGGUAGGAUUGCGAGAGCACGAGAUGAGCGGAUGGAAGAAAAAGGAAAGCAGUGCCGAGAGCUGGUGGAAUGAGAACCGACCCCGGGCCGAGCGAGGCCAGGAGGGUGGUGAGGUGCGCAGGCAAGGAGGAAACAGAGUCAGGAAACUCAGCCAGGAUGGUGAGCAGCUCAGAUAAGAGCAAUGGGAUAUCAUGAAAGAUAGAGGUUUCCAAAUAAAACUUGAACGAGGCCCAGAAACGAGGAGCAAGGUGCAGCACCUGGGGCCCUCCGGGGCCCCAAGGCAGGGACAUCUGAGUGGCUCCCAAGAGGCGGGGUUGCGUGUGAUCCCCACAGCUCCCCACGCCCCUGUUCUCCAUGGCUGAUGAAGGACAGCGCCCCCUCGUCCACCCCUCCCCAAGCAGGUGGCCUCUGGGGGCUUCCCACAGCCAACUCACCUGCCCGCAGAGCCCUUUUUGGGGUAGAAAAUCUCAUUCCCCUACUGUACAGCCUCCUGGCCCGUUCCCUGCUACAGAAUCUCCCCUGUAUGCUCCUCAGAGACUGCCCCCUCCAACCUCACCCCACGGCCUCCCGCUCUACUUGCCCCCCCCCCCCGACACAUCCUCACUCAGGCAGAAUCAAAGCUGAGGUCCUCACUUAGGGGGAGGGGUGAGUGCGGGG